rnacentral:rRNA from 1 species
UGGGGAAUUUUGCGCAAUGGGCGAAAGCCUGACGCAGCAACGCCGCGUGAGUGAUGAAGGCUUUCGGGUCGUAAAGCUCUGUCGAGGGGAAAGAAGUGUACGGGGGCUAAUAUCCUCUGUACUUGACGGUACCCCUAAAGGAAGCACCGGCUAACUCCGUGCCAGCAGCCGCGGUAAUACGGAGGGUGCGAGCGGUGUUCGGAAUUAUUGGGCGGAAAGCGCGUGCAGGUGGGUCGCUAAGCCUGAUGG